AUUGAACGCUGGCGGCAGGCCUAACACAUGCAAGUCGAGCGGAUGAAGGGAGCUUGCUCCUGGAUUCAGCGGCGGACGGGUGAGUAAUGCCUAGGAAUCUGCCUGGUAGUGGGGGAUAACGUCCGGAAACGGGCGCUAAUACCGCAUACGUCCUGAGGGAGAAAGUGGGGGAUCUUCGGACCUCACGCUAUCAGAUGAGCCUAGGUCGGAUUAGCUAGUUGGUGGGGUAAAGGCCUACCAAGGCGACGAUCCGUAACUGGUCUGAGAGGAUGAUCAGUCACACUGGAACUGAGACACGGUCCAGAGUCCUACGGGAGGCAGCAGUGGGGAAUAUUGGACAAUGGGCGAAAGCCUGAUCCAGCCAUGCCGAGUGUGUGAAGAAGGUCUUCGGAUUGUAAAGCACUUUAAGUUGGGAGGAAGGGCAGUAAGUUAAUACCUUGCUGUUUUGACGUUACCAACAGAAUAAGCACCGGCUAACUUCGUG
rnacentral:rRNA from 1 species